rnacentral:tRNA from 1 species
UCCUUGGUGGUCCAGUGAUUAAGACUCCACACUCCCAAUGCAGGAGGCCCAGGUUCAAUCCCUGGUCAGGGAG